GACGGACGCUGGCGGCGUGCCUAAUACAUGCAAGUCGAGCGCAGGAAGCUGACGGAACUCUUCGGAGGGAAGGCAGUGGAAUGAGCGGCGGACGGGUGAGUAACACGUAAGGAACCUGCCUCAAGGAUUGGGAUAACUCCGAGAAAUCGGAGCUAAUACCGGAUAGUUCAACGGACCGCAUGGUCCGCUGAUGAAAGGCGCUCCGGCGUCACCUUGAGAUGGCCUUGCGGUGCAUUAGCUAGUUGGUGGGGUAACGGCCCACCAAGGCGACGAGGCAUAGCCGACCUGAGAGGGUGAUCGGCCACACUGGGACUGAGACACGGCCCAGACUCCUACGGGAGACAGCAGUAGGGAAUCUUCCACAAUGGACGAAAGUCUGAUGGAGCAACGCCGCGUGAGGGAUGAAGGUUUUCGGAUCGUAAAACUCUGUUGUAAGGGAAGAACACGUACGAGAGGGAAUGCUCGUACCUUGACGGUACCUUACGAGAAAGCCACGGCUAACUACGUGCCAGCCGCCGCCGUAAAAC
rnacentral:rRNA from 1 species